rnacentral:tRNA from 1 species
GGGCCCGUAGCUCAACGGAUAGAGCGCUUGGCUUCGGACCAAGAGGUUGGGGGUUCGAAUCCCCUCGGGCUCG